AGAUGCUCCGUACUGCGAGUGAGCGGCAAAGCUCAAAUUUGAAAUCUGCGUCCUUCGGGGCGCCGAGUUGUAAUUUUGAGAUGCGUUUUCGACCGACAGGCCUGCCUUAAGUCCCUUGGAACAGGGCGUCACAGAGGGUGAGAAUCCCGUGAACGGUAGGCCUCGAGGCACACGAUACGUAUUCAACGAGUCGAGUUGUUUGGGAAUGCAGCUCAAAAUGGGUGGUAAAUUUCAUCUAAAGCUAAAUAUAGGGGAGAGACCGAUAGCGCACAAGUAGAGUGAUCGAAAGAUGAAAAGCACUUUGAAAAGAGAGUUAAAAAGUACGUGAAAUUGUUGAAAGGGAAGCGCUUGAGGCCAGACUCAAUCUCCGUCGAUCAACCUCGGUUCUCCGCGGUGCAAUCGGCGGCUUUUGGGACAGCAUCGGUUCCGGCGGAGGGACAAAGCCUGAGGAAAUGUGGCACCCCUCGGGGUGUGUUAUAGACCUCUGGGUAAUGCCUCCAGCUGGGACCGUGGACCGCGCUUCGGCUAGGAUGCUGUCGUAAUGGCCUUCAGCGACCCGUCUUGAAACACGGACCAAGGAGUCUAACAUCUAUGCGAGUGUUCGGGUGGAAAACCCUUGCGCGUAAUGAAGGUGAACGGAGGUGGGAAUCGCAAGACGCACCAUCGACCGAUCCCGAUGGG
rnacentral:rRNA from 1 species